UGAGUGGGGGUGUGGGGGCAAUCCAGGUUUGAUAAUAAUAUGUAUCACAACAUAAUCAUCGACUUCAGGUAAAAAGCCAAAAGCUAAAGCAUCCCAAGCGUGACGGGUUAUUGUAGAGGGAAGAGGGGAUUUGGGAAGAGUUUUGUAUUUCUUAAUGAGAGGAUUCCAUAGAUAAAAGUUGCGCAUACGAUCGCAACUAGUGAAACGUAUGGUUGACAUGCAGAUUAAACCAUAAGAUAGAGCAAACCAGACAUGAACAUCAUCAUUAGGCAAACCAGGAGGAAAUUCAAGUUUGCAAUACUCUUGACAUUGCAAGUCAUCAACACGUACUGUAAAACGUAAACUAUCAUCCUCGUGAAAUAAAAGAUAUUUAGGAUGAUGUUGAUUAUAGUUGCCGGUAACAAUUUGCUUCUGAUAAUUUAACUGGAGGCUGAUAAACACAGGAGAUAUUACCAAACAAUUCCAUGAUUUUUGUACGGACCUACAACGCAAGAUAUCUUUAACAGGCAGUCUAACAAGAAUAUCUGCCAGUAGUUCCUUAGGUAAGUCGUGAAUACGCAGCCUGUCGCCGUGCCUUAGCGGACCACUACUACUAGUCAAUUGACAAUUAAUCGAACACUUAGCUUUCUCUAAAAUCAUUGCUUUUUUCGACUUUUUCCGAACAAGAGAACUAGUGUUACCUUUCAUCAUUCGGAGCUGCGAGUGAAAGAAUCCCGGAAGCCUGGACUUAUGCUUUGAUUUCUUGAUCCUUCGAAUCCUCGGAACUGGAACCCUUGGAAUCACCGUUACCUUACAAGGCCCCCACUCAAAAAAGCGACGACGACUUCUUACAACCAAAUUGUUGUUAUUAUUAUUCAAUCGAGGACAAUCACUGCCAAUCGAAUCAACAAUCUUCGCUUGUCUAAACAUCGUGCCGCUGUUAUUGAUUUGAUUGGAGCUCAUGUUGAUUGGCCCUAUCAGUUGUGUGAGAAUUUUAGUUAAACAAUCCGAAAACCCUAGAAAUAUAAGUAUAGGAGAAGUGUGAAGAAUACGACGUUGCGCUCUGAUGGCUCCAAUUUUCCUUUCUUCCCUUUAAAAUACUCUAUUAUUUCAUUUAUUUGUAGUAUAUUUUAAUUUGUAAGUUGUUUGAGUUUUUAACAUAUUUUCCUCAAAAAAAAAACAUAUUUUCAUAAGAAAAUUUAUACUUGUUGAAAAUGUUUCUAAAAAUGUUAAUUUGGGCAUAUAUGUUAAAAUUGAUUUAAAUUUUAAAAUAAUGAAAGCAAUUUUAAAAAUAGAUAUACAUUUACGAAAACAAAAAAAAAUUAUAUUAUUUUUCAAAAAAAUACUUAAAAUUAUGUGAUGUCCCAGUAACCAUCAUACAUUCACAAUAAAUUUAUCAAGACAUCACAUGAUUUUAAGUAUUUUUUUAAAAAAUAAUAUGGAUUUUUAUUUUUAUAAGAGUAUAUUUAUUUUAAAAAAAUUGUAAGAAUAUAAUUUCUUGAAAAAAAGUUACAUAUUUAUUCUAUUGCCGCUAGAGCUGUGAUUCGAAUCGGGUGACUCGCGAGCUCGCCCGGCUCGAACUCGUUUAACUAUGCUCGACUCGGCUCGUGUAGUUAAACGAGCAACGAGCCGAACUCGGGAAAAGGUUCCGGCUCGUUUUAUUAAACGAGUUGACUCGACUCGUAAAACUAAACGAGCCGAGUUCGGGUAAAAGUUUAGACUCGAUUAAGUGUAAAAUCAAACGAGCCGGCUCGCCCGACUCCCUAAAACUGGAUCGUUUAGCUAAACAAGCCGGCUCGACUCGACUCGUGAAAUUAAACUAGUCGAGUUCAGACAGAGAUUUAGGUUCGAUUAGUUAAACGAGCCAGCUCGGCUCGGCCCAAAUUACACCCCUAGUUGCAGCUAAAUACGAUAAGAUGCAACCAAAAUUAACAUUCAGUACUAUUGAAAGUAAAUUCAAUUUUUUCUUUUUGAAGAAGAUUACCUGGGAUUGUAUUUAAUUAUAAAUAUAUAAAAAAUGGUUGAAGACGGCAUUUUUACAAAUAUUAUCAAAUUUUGAAAGAAAAACUUAAUUUUUUUUAUAAAUUUCCUAAUUUCAAUUAUACCUCUAAUUUAUUAUAUUUUUCUCUAACAAUAAUGGAUAUGCCCAAUUUAUAAUAACUACGCUGAAAUCAAAACAUUCAUUUGUCAUCAUGUUACAUAUUUUAAGAAAAAAUAACAUCAUAUAAAAAUUGAUAGGUCGUGUCUCUUGACACAAUCAUGUGUCAUAGGGAGUUUAUCUAACACAUUGUGCGGGGUCGUUGGAUCUAUAGGUUCGGAUUCAAUUUUAUUUUUUAAUGAUCUUAUAUAAAUAUCUGCGGAACUCUUUUAUUUUUUAAUGAUCUUAUAUAAAUAUCCACGGAACGAGAGUUUGUCUUUACGCAGAUAAUAUAGAUCCAAAAACUUCUUUUAUUUUUUAAUGAUCUUAUAUAAAUAUCCACGGAACGAGAGUUUGUCUUUACGCAGAUAAUAUAGAUCCAAAAACUUCUUUUAUUUUUUAAUGAUCUUAUAUAAAUAUCCACGGAACGAGAGUUUGUCUUUACGCAGAUAAUAUAGAUCCAAAAACUUCUUUUAUUUUUUAAUGAUCUUAUAUAAAUAUCCACGGAACGAGAGUUUGUCUUUACGCAGAUAAUAUAGAUCCAAAAACUUCUAUACAGUAUGUUAGAUAAGCCUUGUUGACACACGAUUGUCAAGUAACAUGACCCAAAAUUGAUAUAAUACGACUCCAUAUAAUUUGAAAAAAUUAUUAAAGUAAAUUUUGAUUCUAUUGUUUACUCUUUUAAAAACUAUGUAUAGAGUUUAAUUUAUAAAAUAUUUCAAUAUAUAAGAUCAUGAAUCAUGUGUCAUGAUUGUUAUCGAUUUAUUCAUUUGUUAUUAUUAUCUUUUUGAAAAGAUAACAUAAAUUUAAAAAACAAAAUGAAAUUUUAAUGUUUUUCUGCUAACAUCGUUAUGAAAAUAAUAACUGAAUAAAUAGUAUUAUUAUUAUUAAAAAUUUAAGAAGGAAUGAGUAGUGUAGCGGUGGACAGACGAUUCACACGAGAAGACCAGUGAAAGACCAAAGUUGUAUACUGCAGUAAAAACUCUAUAAAUAAAUAAUGUCAGGAGAGGAGAAAGUUAUUAAUUUAAAGAGUUAUUAAUUUAUCAAUAAAUUAUUAAUUAUUAAUUUAAAGAGUUUUUAACUGAUUAUGCUAUACAUUUUAAACAAAAAUGCAAAUUAGUCUAUGCCUUUUAGAAUUCUAUUACCGCAAAUCUUGAGAUUCAAUAUAAAUUACUAACUACUGUGUUCAUAUGUAUUGUAGAUUAAUAAUGAUGUUUGAAGUACUAUAUUGUAAAUGUAAGGAUAAAGGAUAAAUGUGUUCGAUGUACCGUUUUCUUAAGUAAAUUUCUAUUAAUUAUUAAUUUAUGAGAUUUUUUUGGGACCAAAAAUUAUAAAGAGAUCUCUCGAAAGAUUAUUAUCUUAUUAUUUUAUCGAGUUCUUCAAUUUUUUACAUUGGCCCAAGUCAGAUCCGGACAAAUUUAUUAUUUUAGAAAAUUUAUUAAUUUACCGAAUAUUAAUUUGAAGAGUUUCUGCUGUACUUUAUUAUUCGUGAGUUGUCUUGGGAUUCUUCAACUAAAAUUCUUGGUAUGGGUGGAAUUCUUUCAUCACUACUCGGCGGCGAUGCCGCCACCGCUGCUGAAGACCAAUAGUAAACUGAAAUUUGUUACGACGAUAGUGGGAACGAAUAGGUGAUUAAAGGAAUAUAACGCAUUAGCAAACACAAUUUUGAAGUUAUAAUGAUACUGCCUAACUGGAUACGACUUGAACAGUAGAGAAAUCAUCUUGAGGUGUAUUUAGUAGACACUUAAUUUACAAAUUAAGGCCAGUGCUGAAAAUGAUUGCUCAACUAGCAAGGUUCAAAAGCACAUUAAAGUGAUGAAUAUAGUAUGCUUUGCAGCAUUGGUAAUACAAUAUUCAGAGAUCAGAAAUCUUACACAGAGCAGGACAACAGAAAUUAACAGGAAUGAUUAUUGCACAUAGAUGAAGCUUUAUUAUGUAAAUACUAGAUACAAUCUAGUAGAGAACAAGAUAUUGGAUUGCAAAACCGUGUAUUUAGUUCUGAAAAGGUUAUUCAAAAGAAAGUUGUACGAUGUUAUGAGCAAAAUAGCUUCAGCAAGGAAUCCUUGUUUUACUAGACAAAGUGUCUAACUAGCAGGUUGAUUUAUAUGGGAAUGGUGACUGUAGCUUCUGAAAAGUGAAGUGAAAACUACACAGGCAGAAAGCAAAUCUGCACAUGCUACAACAUGAUUAACAGUAAUACAGUAUAUUGCCAGAGGAGGGCAACAAAUUAUAUAUCAAAUCCCUGGGGACUGUAGCAUAGUAGUCUCCCCUCUUUCUCCUAGUAACAGGAAGUGAGGAUUUAAGGCAUAUGUGAAAGGGAGGAUGUGAAGUGAUGAUUCACACUGAUACUAGCAACCCUAGAAACAUAUAACCAAGCUUCCGAUGCAAACUAUAUAAAAUGGAAGAUGCACCUACCUCCGUGUUUACAAACAUUCUCAAAACAACAUAACUCAUGUAGUCAAGCUCCUCUGUUUUAAACAACCGUUCCAAAGCAUUAUCACAGAACAUGCUAUCCUCUCCUUGAAGUGAUUCAUCCAAGUUACAGUAGCGAAGAACAUUCAUCAAAGAGUGAAUAUGUGAUUCCUGUCAAAUGAAUAAUGCAAAAACUAUGUUAAUAUGGUGGAUAUCAACACAGAGAACAGUAAAGGAAAUGAUCUAUCCCAUUACAUUGCCUAGGCUUCAUGGACAGGGAGAAGAGGGACAAGGGAACAUCAAGCCAAACUUAGCUAGUCAUAAAUCAUCUAAAAAUCUAAAUGAGUUGCAAAAAUUUGACGUCCUAUAUAAACAGAUGUGAAGUAAAGGCGUGUUCGAACAUGUCUAUCCGGUGUCCUCGCAUUUGCAUAUCUAAGGGACAAAUGUAGCACGGCGUCAUUAAUAUUAUAAUGAAGAUAUGUAUUUCUGAAUUCAUGUCACUUAUAUAUCACAAACAAGUGAGGAAUGAGAAUUUUCUCAAUAAGGAAAAGGAUGCCGCAUUUACUUUGGAUCCAACCGGUAUUUGAUCUCUUUGCCAUCAUCCUCCUCCUGAACCAUCGACAUGUCACUUGUGAAGCUGUUCCUCCAGGUGUCCUCCAUUUUACUAUGAGAUAUUCGUUGAUGAUCCUGUUCUUCUUUCAUUGUCUUGUGGACUGCUGACUCUUUCUCAGUCUUCACUGGUGUUGGUUCUGUGAAGGUGGUAUUUAUAGUUGAUUCUUGCUCCUGAUUACUCUUUAGUUCAGCAACACUGAUUGCUUCCUCACCAGUGUUCCUCAGAUCAAUCAAUAUUUUACCAAGCAAGCGUCAAGCAAUCUGAAAAGUAUAUAUAAAACGACACAAGUGACAGUUCUCUGUUAGAUAAUGCCAUUUGCAGAUAGUCUACAGUACAGUGCUGUGAAAUAAGCUGAAAAAGAGUGUAACAUUAAAGUAAACUAAUGCUAUGAUCAGUUUGUAUUGACAUGUAGGUUAAAUGAUAUCCUGAAACAAAAGAGCACAUUUAACUCAUAAACCCUAGGAGUUGUGACUUAUGUAGAAGUUGGUGCCUGCAUUUUGACAAUAACAAUAACAUGAAAGUAGAUAUGUCUCGUAAUGUGAUGUUUACCUUUGAGCCAAUCUUCAGUUUCUGCUUUGGAUUAAUACCACUCAUUGGGAAUAACACAGUCUGCAAGUAACUUAAAUUCAACAGCAAGUAUCGGUCAGUUGGAAUGUAAUUACAAGACUAUUGCCUCAGAUAGUCGUUCACAUAGCAUUUUUUUUCUUUACUGAAGUCUAUGCCGACUAAAUCUAUCUUACUCCAAAUCUAAUUAGGACGAACACCAAACUAUCAAUAAAGUGAACCAUAUUUAAAUAAGAUGCAGUUGCAAAUUGCAAUCAUAUCAAAACAAAAUUUUCAAUUUGUUCAAUAAAAGAACACACUGGGGUUGCACCAAAUAUACACGGCAAAGAUAUUGGCCCUGCAUUCUUUUAGAAUAAAGUACAGGAAAAUAUAUGAAGGGAAGCGAAAUAACUUUGUCUGCUCCUGAGCAUUAACAAAAGAAUAGAAGUAACAUGAGUAAAAUACAAAUAUAUAGAUACGAGGAGAAUGUGGUUUUACUUGGAAUCAGGAAGUUUCUAAAACUUUAUUCACUUACUCCUAACCCCUGUUCAACCCACUGAGGAGUAAAAGUUUUGGAGUGAGAUGGAAGGUCUCUUUUUUUAGCUGAAAAAUAUUAAGGUAAUUUCACUUCUUUUAGUUUUGCUUUUCUCCGCAUCCGAAACUCCAUAGUUUAAGACUGUGAUGUACUUAAUAUACUUAAAUCCUACGUAUCUGAUAUCUGCGCAAUUUGAAAGUUAGAAGCAGGAUUAAUUAAUAAUUACAAGAAACGCUGAAGAUAAUCUAACUAAAAGAACUACAUGCAAAUGAAGGAAUGCCAAACAUUAAACAAAUUACUCUCUUCCAGCAAUAUCUGAAACACUUGAAGAUGCGAGGUCAGACAAAAUAUUUAAUUUGGUACCUGAGCAACUUUGAAGAGUUCAUCCAACCCUUCUACAUUAAGAUGCGCAUUGUGCAAGAGAUCAUACCUGUUAAAAGGAAUGGACAAGUUCACAAUUACAAUAUUAAAAAUUGAUUUGUCAUCUAACUAAUUAAAGAUAUUACAAACAUAAUAUUGGAACAAGAAAAUAAGAGAUCAUUUGUUAAUAAUUUGGCACUAUCUUUCAUAAAAUUAUUGACCAAGUAACCUUUGGUGGUUUAUACAUACUCCGUAUGAAUGCUUUUUCAUCCCUUUAAAUCUAAACACUUGACCCUUUCAGAUCAAUGUGCUAUAAAAAUCCACCACCACCACCACCCCAUCAGCCCCACGGCAUGAGCAGAGUGUAUAAAGGGUCAUUACCAUUUUCUGACACUUUCACCCUCUAAUUUUAUGCCCUUGACCCUCUCAUAUGAUAACAUUAUAAGAAUAUUAUUUGACAUGUGUUCACAAAAUAUGAGAGAGGUCUUGAAAGGCCGGGAUCGAAUCUAGACCAGCAUACACACACAUCCUAAGGCAAUGCCGGCGCUGUUUCCUUUGAUCUUGCAAAAAAAAGGCAUACUAUCCAUAGGAAAACUAUAUGGCAGCGCCAAAAAAACUCUGCUUAACUUAAGAAUAAAAACUUUAAUGAAACAAUAAUCAGAUCUACUUGUAGAUGCUAUAUAUUUUGCAAGUAGAAUUGAAAGAGACCAUUUUAGGAGAUUGUUUGGCAGAGUUGAAGUGGAGUUUCCAUCGGUCAGCAGAGUGAAAUUCCAGGACUCGGGAUGGCUCUGUCGACGGCGGAUAUUCAGCAGCGGUGGCUAGGGAUGAGCGUGGUUUGGUUUGGUGCGGUUUGAACCAAAAACCGCACUGUAACCAUAUUAAUUCGGUUUCUAAAAUCAAAAAGCAAAACCAAACCAAAUAAUAUUGGUGCAGUUCGGUUUUCUUGAUUCGGUUUCAGUUUGAAAUGGUGCUGUUUCGGUUUUAAAACCAAAUAAUAAAAAAUGUGUACCAAAGGCGUUUUCAAAGAACAAAUCACAUAAGUUGAAUCUACUUAAAAGCCAUAUAUACCUUGUUUCUCAUGUAGCCCACAAGUCCAACUCCUACUGCUAGACAUUUGGUUACCUUCCUUACAAACCAGGUCGCAACAAGAACAGGAGCUUCUGCUUUAAAUAACAAGAUGACUCCAUCUACAUCAUGUAAUGUGCUUUCGUUGGAUGUCUUAGGAAAAAGGCCAAGCACAGCAAAAAAAGAAUCAUCCAUGGUUGAAGUUAUGGCUGCAUAGAUGCACAAGAUACCAAGACGGACAGCAUAUGGAUAAAUAUUUCAGAAGCUCAACAACUGCAAUUAAUUUUACCAGAAAAUCACAGUAGAAAGUAGAAACUUCUGCAACGAAUUAUAAACAAAGGGUAUAAAAAGCUCUAUCAGGAAGGGAACUGGAGUGCAAAUGCAAUUAUGCAACAGCUGUACAAGUAUUAUGGAGAAGCAUUUAUGCAAAUGAAACUCAUUCACAGAUAAUAAUUCAAAAACUCCACACAAAGAAUAUGUGAAGACUACUGCAUUGCAAUAGUAGAGUACAAAAAUAAAAAUAAACAUACCAUUGCCAGUUUGUUGCUGAUAGCCUGAUACAGCCACAAGAUACCCUGAUUUAGCUUAGGAACACCUGCAUUUUUAUAUCAAUAUAUAAGCCAGUAAUGCCAAUGUACCCUGAUGCUCCGGUCACACACACUGUCCUCGUCCCCUGCAGAUACAAUACAUUAGAAAAUUAUACCAAUCACAUUCAUGGCCUUUUCUGACUGCCCUGUAGUCGCGCAAAUCUCACCAUCAGAGUAUUCUAAUUCAAGAUCUGGAGUUAUAGGAUGUCUUUUUUAUAACUCAAGAUCCAGCAGAUAUGUUGAGCCAUUAAUAUAUGUACCAUUAGCAAGACAAACACUAGCCAGAAACAUAAAUAAUAUAUUACAACUGAUAUACUUCAAGUCUUCAAGGAUCAGAAAUUAUUCAAAUCAAAAACUAAAGUAUACAACAUUGGUCUUUCACUGGUCUUCUUGUGUGAAUCCUCUGUCCACCGCUACUCAUUCCUUUUUAGAUUUUAACCAUAAUAAUAAUUAUUAUUCAGUUAUUAUUAUUUUCAUAAAGAUGAAAAUAGCAGAAAAAUAAAAAAAAAAAUUCAUUUUGUUUGUUAAAAUUUAAGUUAUCUUUUCAAAAAAGAUAAAAAUAACAAAUAAAUAAAUCAAUAUUAUGCAAAAUCUGAUUCUCCACAAAAGGACAAAGACAUGAGGUGGUAAAUAGCCUUCCUCGUAAGGAGAAUUAGGAGCCUAGCCAUUUCAAGAAUCACCAAAAUCAUUUCUUUGAAGACAUUCAAGAUUAUAUGAAAUCGAAUUAUUGAAUUUUGCAAGUAGUGGUUUACCAUUGUUCCUUACACCCAAGCAUUCCUCCCUAACAUCUUUACUUGGCUAAUUGACAUCUUCAUUCCCCCAUAACUCUUUCGCAGCCACGGGUCAAAAUAAAUUAGUCCCCUUUCCCAAACAAAGUAAGCAAUGGAUUGACCAAAUAGAUAAAUAAUAAGAACAUGUGGCAAAAAUGCAACCAGAUUGAGAAAUUAGAUUUGACUUGGUAUAUCAAUCUUUGUUGCCACCAUAUAUAACGAGAGUAAUUAUUAAACAAAAAAUCAUGAUCAGAUAUAUUCAUAAAUCAAUUGCUAUGAAUUUUAUUAAGCAAAAAAUAAAAUCCACAAAAAUCAUAAACUGAUAGCUCAGUUUUAGGAGUAGCAAGGCUUCAGACUUGAUAAUUUUUUCAAUUUUAUCAAUCAUUAAGCAAAACCAAACUCUCCACAAAAGGCCUAAUGACAUAAGGUGGUCUCUUGCCUACAUUGUACGGGGAAUUGGGAGUCCAACGAUCCCAUGAAUUAACAAAACCAUUUGCUUGAUGGCUCUCAAGACUAUAUGAAAUCAAAUUAUUAGAUUUUGCAAGUAUUGGAUCACCGUUGUUCCUUACACCCAAGACUUCCUCCUCAACAUGUAUACUUGGAGUGACACACAUCUUCUUCUCCCACGUAAACUCAUUUAUAUGAUCAUGUUUCAAUACCCACAUGUCAAAAUAAUUUACCUCAUCCCAAACGAAGUAAGCCAUAGAUUGACCAAACUGAUGAAUGACAGGAACAAGUGGCAGAUAUGCAACCCAGUCUGGCAAUGAGAUUGCACAGAGUAUAUCAGUCUUGGUAUCAAAGCACAAAAGUGUUCUUUGCUUAUCCAAAUUAACCCCUACCCAAAAUGCAACCCCAUUAAUGAAAACAACAUUGUCAGGAUCACUGAUGAUUGUCGAAAUAAAUACACUCUCUUGACUUUAUUUCUUCCAAGAAUUAGUUUUUAGACUAUAAACACCAAUGAUGACUGAGUGGGGGUGUGGGGGCAAGCCAGGUUUGAUAAUAUGUAUCACAACAUAAUCAUCGACUUCAGGUAAAAAGCCAAAAGCUAAAGCCUCCCAAGCGUGACGGGUUUUUGUAGAGGGAAGAGGGGAUUUGGGAAGAGUUUUGUAUUUCUUAAUGAGAGGAUUCCAUAGAUAAACGUUGCGCAUACGAUCGCAACUAGUGAAAAGUAUGGUUGACAUGCAGAUUAAACCAUAAGAUAGAGCAAACCAGACAUUAACAUCAUCAUUAGGCAAACCAGGAAGAAAUUUAAGUUUGCAAUACUCUUCACAUUGCAAGUCAUCAACACGUACUGUUAAACGUAAACUAUCAU
rnacentral:lncRNA from 1 species